rnacentral:rRNA from 1 species
AUUGAACGCUAGCGGCAUGCUUAACACAUGCAAGUCGAACGGCAGCACGAGGAGCUUGCUCCUUGGUGGCGAGUGGCGGACGGGUGAGUAACGCGUAGGAAUCUACCUUAUAGUGGGGGACAACCCGGGGAAACUCGGGCUAAUACCGCAUAAUCUUUACGAAGCAAAGCAGGGGACCUUCGGGCCUUGCGCUAUAAGAUGAGCCUGCGUCGGAUUAGCUAGUUGGUGGGGUAAAGGCCUACCAAGGCGACGAUCCGUAGCUGGUCUGAGAGGACGACCAGCCACACUGGGACUGAGACACGGCCCAGACUCCUACGGGAGGCAGCAGUGGGGAAUAUUGGACAAUGGGCGAAAGCCUGAUCCAGCAAUGCCGCGUGUGUGAAGAAGGCC